rnacentral:lncRNA from 1 species
AUGGGAACAGUAGUCAGAGACAAGAUAUACAUUAUAUAUAUCAUUAACCAGAUUAAGAAGCAAUCACAAUGUAUGUUUAAAACACCAAUAACAAACAUUAAGAUUGCAAAAACAUCAAAAACUUAAUCUAGUUAGAACAUUGCAUAUAUACUCAUCAAGUUUAUAUCACAGUUAUCAAAAAUUAAUUUGCUCCAACCUACUCAAGUCAAAUCAAUCUAACUACGCUCAAAUUACUCCCCCUUUUUGUCACAAAGGGCCAAAGAGGGCCAAAAAAUCACAAAAAAUAAACUAAGAAGCAGCAUCCGCAGCAUCGGAAGAAUCAGAGCCACCCUCAGCACUCGUGCUGGCCUCCAAAUGAUCUCAAAUCCAGCGCAACUGACGCUGACAAACAGCAAGAGCACGGCGAAACGAAGUCAUCUCAGCAGUCUGACGCUCCGAAGCAGCACGUAACUGCGUGAUCUCAGCUAAUAUACGAGCCUGCUGCUCGAUCAAUGUAGUCAUCGGACCCAAAAGAGGCACCAAGGGGUCAACUGGCAAUGUAGCCGCCCCAGGGACUGAAGUAGAAGCAGAGGGACCGGAAGAGCUGAUCGGAAUAGUAAGAGGAGGAGUGGAACGAGACGGAAGACAGACUCGAGAGCCCCCAGUAAGAAUAUCAAAUAUAGGAUCAAGGGGCUCGGAGGAAUCAAAAACAUCAAAAACUGCAUCCGCAGUAGGAGCAGGAGCAGAAGAAGAAGAAGCGGGAAUAUGAGAGCGACUCUGAUGUAUAGUCUGCUGUCCAAUCGGACGUCCAAUGCGUCGAGUCGAGCUCUCAGGAAAAGAAGCACCUAAGGCUAAGGCUACCCGAUGAAUCAAACAAGCAUAUGGUAACCCAAUACGACCCCCAGGAGUACGAAAAGAAGCCAGAAUCUGCUGGCAAAUAAAACUAGGGAGGUCAAUCGAAUCCCCGCGAAGUAAUGCAUAUAAAAACCGGGCCCGCCCCAUAGGUAAAGAAGAAGUAUGGGCAACAGGCCAAAGGUUCGUGCACACAAUGCGCAACAGAACCUGGCGAUCAGUAGGUAAAGACCCAGUNCUAUGGGUCAGAAUUUGAGAUUUAGCUCUGAUACCACUUGAAAAACCUUACGUUCGACCCAACUAACACCUAGAGGGGGGGUGAAUAGGUGUUCAUGCGGAAUUAAAAAACUUAUCAAUUAAUUCGUG